rnacentral:lncRNA from 1 species
UAUCUACUCUAUAAAAGAGUCCUAUUCUUGAGUGGUAAGUGUUUGUAUACACUUGAAGGGAAGUCUAAUCCCUUGUUGUUGUAAGAAGGAAGGUUCCAUUCCUUCGGUUGAAGUCUUGGAGUGCGGUAUCUCCGAGCAAACGUUGUUGAGGUUCGUGUGACUCGAGUUCUCAAGUUGUAUUGGUUUGUUGAGCACCUUUAAGCUUAACGGAGUUAGUUACAGCUCGAGAGAGUCUCUUGGGAGACUGGACGUAACCACACGUUGUGGC